UACGGAGGGUGCAAGCGUUGUCCGGAAUUAUUGGGCGUAAAGAGCUCGUAGGCGGUUCGUCGCGUCGGCUGUGAAAUCCCGAGGCUCAACCUCGGGUCUGCAGUCGAUACGGGCGGACUGGAGUACUGCAGGGGAGACUGGAAUUCCUGGUGUAGCGGUGGAAUGCGCAGAUAUCAGGAGGAACACCGGUGGCGAAGGCGGCUCACUGGCCCGUAACUGACGCUGAGGUGCGAAAGCGUGGGGAGCAAACAGG
rnacentral:rRNA from 1 species